GGCCUUAUAGCUCAGCGGUUUAGAGCAUGCGAUUGCAGUGGGGUAAUCGAUUAUCGCAGGGUCCCGUGUUCGAAUCACGGUGAGGCCU
rnacentral:tRNA from 1 species